GCGUGUGUGAAGAAGGUCUUCGGAUUGUAAAGCACUUUCGGCGGGGACGAUGAUGACGGUACCCGCAGAAGAAGCCCCGGCUAACUUCGUGCCAGCAGCCGCGGUAAUACGAAGGGGGCUAGCGUUGCUCGGAAUGACUGGGCGUAAAGGGCGCGUAGGCGGAUGUUACAGUCAGGCGUGAAAUUCCUGGGCUCAACCUGGGGACUGCGCUUGAUACGUGAUGUCUUGAGUGAGGAAGAGGGUUGUGGAAUUCCCAGUGUAGAGGUGAAAUUCGU
rnacentral:rRNA from 1 species